AUUGAACGCUGGCGGCAUGCCUUACACAUGCAAGUCGAACGGCAGCACGGGGGCAACCCUGGUGGCGAGUGGCGAACGGGUGAGUAAUACAUCGGAACGUGUCCUGGAGUGGGGGAUAGCCCGGCGAAAGCCGGAUUAAUACCGCAUACGCUCUAUGGAGGAAAGCGGGGGAUCUUCGGACCUCGCGCUCAAGGGGCGGCCGAUGGCGGAUUAGCUAGUUGGUAGGGUAAAGGCCUACCAAGGCGACGAUCCGUAGCUGGUCUGAGAGGACGACCAGCCACACUGGGACUGAGACACGGCCCAGACUCCUACGGGAGGCAGCAGUGGGGAAUUUUGGACAAUGGGGGCAACCCUGAUCCAGCAAUGCCGCGUGUGUGAAGAAGGCCUUCGGGUUGUAAAGCACUUUUGUCCGGAAAGAAAUCCUCUGGGUUAAUACCUCGGGGGGAUGACGGUACC
rnacentral:rRNA from 1 species